UGAAAAUCAUUUCAUAUAUAUAAAAAAUACACUAUUUUAUGAAAAACAGAGUAAUAAAGAAAGAGCUAGGCAUGGAGGAAGAAAAGGAAGCUUUGGUGGGAGAAAGGGAAAAAGACCAAUCAGACUCAGACGAGGUAAAGAACGUGGAGAUUCACCUCUUCCGGCAAGGUGAAGGACCCAUUGCAGUGUUCAAAUCGGAGCUUGGCGGAGUGGAACAAAACCGGCUGGAUGUCCGUCAAAUUCUCCACAAACACUCCCUCAAAUCCAUAUUCGCUUUCAACCCUCGAUCUGGCCGCGCCGCACCCAUCCGCUUCAACCCUAAAACCGGAAAAUCCGUCUUGCCUUACCGAAACGGCGCCGUUCUCUACAUCGACGGCGAACCCAAGGAGUCGUUGCUUAAACCUUUGAGCAGGAUCUUGAUUGGGGUGGCACUUAUAACUAUUAUGAUAAUGUUAGUUUCCGGUGAUAUUGCUAUUAGUAGUACUCCAGAGUGGGUUCAGAAACUGAAUGUUUCAGGUGUGAAUUUCCCUCCUUUGAUAGUGGCUUGUGUAGUUGUUGUUUUCUCUCGCAUGAGGCACAGGACUAGAGGAUUUCUCAAAAGGCUUGGUCUCUAAUUCAUCCAUCAAUCAUUCAUGAGGAAGAUCACCAUUGAAUUGUUUACUUACUGUUUUUAAAAGAAAAAAGUUAAAAGUUAUGGUGUGGAGUUCGGGGAAGUGUUUGAAGUGUCAAUGGAUUAAGGGAUUGGAUCCCCUUCUUUAUUAAUCUCUUCUCCCCUAUUCCACUCUAUCUCUCUCUUAAUUAUAUACUUUCCCUUCAUUAAAACAUGAAAAUAUAAUCAAGAGAGAGAAUGAAUAAAGAGAGACAUAGAGAGUGCGGAGAAGGCAGAGGAGAAGGGGAGAAUGGUGAAGGAGAGGAUCCAAAAUCAUGGAUAAACAUUUAGGAUUCAAGAAAUCUUAAUAUUACGUAUUCACCAAAAAGUUUAAGGUAAUAAGAGUAUAUAUUCAACAUUUACUCUUUUUCUAACAUUUACUCUUUUUCUAGUGGAUGAGAGACUUAACCACUCAUUAGCCUUGAUUCAUGCUUUCGCAUCCCGUUGAAUCUAAUCAUGGCUAUGAUAUCAUUUGUUGGGGAGUCUAGGGAAUGCCGAAAGUGUUAAUGAGUGUUUAGAAUUCAAGAGACCUUGACACCAUAUAUCAAUCUAAAACUUUAAUGCGAUGA